rnacentral:rRNA from 1 species
GACGAACGCUGGCGGCGUGCUUAACACAUGCAAGUCGAACGAAGUGGCGAACGGGUGAGUAACGCGUAAUCAACCUGCCCUUCAGAGGGGGACAACAGUUGGAAACGACUGCUAAUACCGCAUACUGAAGGAGGGGAUUGCGUCUGAUUGGCUAGUGGGCGGGGUAACGGCCCACCAAGGCGAUGAUCAGUAGCGGGUCUGAGAGGAUGAUCCGCCACACGGGGACUGAUACACGGCCCAGACUCCUACGGGAGGCAGCAGUGGGGAAUUUUGGACAAUGGGCGCAAGCCUGAUCCAGCCAUGCCGCGUGUCGGAAGAAGGCCUUCGGGUUGUAAAGGACUUUUGUCAGGGAAGCGGUACCUGAAGAAUAAGCACCGGCUAACUACGUGCCAGCAGCCGCGGUAAUUC